rnacentral:rRNA from 1 species
UUUCCGGUUGAUCCUGCCGCCGGCCACCGCUAUCAAGUUCCGACUAAGCCAUGCGAGUCAAGGUAUCGUAAGAUGCCGGCAAACUGCUCAGUAACACGUGGAUAAUCUAACCUUGAGUAAGGGAUAACCUCGGGAAACUGAGGAUAAUACCUUAUAAUUGCUUAAAACUGGAAUGUUUAAGCAAUAAAAGUUCCGACGCUCAAGGAUGAGUCUGCGACCUAUCAGGUAGUAGGUGGUGUAAUGGACCACCUAGCCUCAGACGGGUACGGGCCCUGGGAGGGGUAGCCCGGAGAUGGACUCUGAGACAUCAGUCCAGGCCCUACGGGGCGCAGCAGGCGCGAACACUGUGCAAUGCGCGAAAGCGCGACACGGGGAGCUUGAGUGUCUUGGCAUAGCCAAGACUUUUCUCAUUCCUAAAAAGCAUGAGGAAUAAGUGCUGGGUAAGACGGGUGCCAGCCGCCGCGGUAACACCCGCAGCACAAGUGGUGGUCACUUUUAUUGAGCCUAAAGCGUUCGUAGCCGGUUUUGUAAAUCUUUAGAUAAAGCCUGAAGCUUAACUCCAGAAAGUCUGAAGAGACUGCAAGACUUGAGAUCGGGUGAGGUUAAACGUACUUUCAGGGUAGGGGUAAAAUCCUGUAAUCCCGGAAGGACGACCAGUGGCGAAAGCGUUUAACUAGAACGAAUCUGACGGUAAGGAACGAAGGCUAGGGUAGCAAACCGGAUUAGAUACCCGGGUAGUCCUAGCUGUAAACACUGCCCAUUUGAUGUUGCUUUUCCGUUGAGGGAAGGCAGUGUCGGAGCGAAGGUGUUAAAUGGGCCGCUUGGGAAGUAUGGUCGCAAGACUGAAACUUAAAGGAAUUGGCGGGGGAGCACCGCAACGGGAGGAAUGUGCGGUUUAAUUGGAUUCAACGCCGGAA